AGCUGAGCUGAUCACUGGAGGUAGUCAGUCGUAGGGGAGCCGCAGCCUCCUUCUUGUACAACUCACAAAUUGAGAACAGCUGAAAAAUUUCUGAGCAGAUGGCCUCGUGAAAAGAAAUGGGCAUCUAGUGUCACCUCGAAUAGUCAUCUGGAAGCUUAGUGACUUUUGCAGCAGAGGUGUGAAGAUCCCUUAUCUUUCACCCUACAGCAUCACAAGAAACAACUGUGCUUAAUGUUGAGAGUGGGAACGUGAAAUCAAGGAAGGAGUCAGAGAGGUAGUGUCUUACGCCUUGGCAGGUGGGCAAGAGUUCCAUAGAUGGAAAGGUAGGAAAGGAUAUGAAAAUCCUGAAAAGGGUGAUUCGGGGUUGUUGAAUGAAUUGCUGGGACCAUGGCUGUGAUGCUGCUGAGAGUUACACUGUGCUCUUCCCAAAACGCGUGCAACAGUAACCGUCUUGCCAAGAUUGCGAGUGCCAACUUGGGGUCCUUCACACUGUGCCCAGCAAGUACUCUCUGAUCCCACAGCUCACAUGAGUCUCCUGCAUCCCCGCUCGGAGGUUUCUUCAUGUCGACGUCUAAGAGCAAAGGGAAACUCACAUCGACCUCUGGGGAUGGGAGGAGUGAAGCAUGGAAGGCUUCCUGGAAGAGGAUGGCACGGAGCUAGGCUUGAAGAGCCUGAGUGAUCAAGAUUUCCAAAGUCUGAGAAGACAGGAAACUAAGGAAAAGAUACGUGAAAAGCCUCGAAGCAGAGCUAGGCGUUGAGGGAUGGACAUAGAAGAAGAAAGAAAGAACAAGAAGAGCAAAGAUUUCAGUCAAUAAGCAGAGCCUUGGGACAUGAGCGGGGUUUGCACUCUUGGAGCUGGAGCGAGUGGCCAGUCUCGCUGUCAAUCGUCGCAGACCCGCCAAUGACGACGUGUGAAGGCGGGGCCAAAGGAACGCUGUCCAGGGAAGCGAAACGCUUGACCGGGCUCUUUAAAACGUGGAUUGUGCAGCGCGGCUUCCGUGGACCGUUCCCCUCCGGGAUGGGGGAACAUGGCGGCUCCGUCUCCUGCUGUCCCCAAAGUCUCACACAAGGUGCGUGAGUGGGUCCUCUGGCCUCACCGACCAUUUUCAGAAAUUUCUCAGGAUAAGGGAAAGAACCAGUUCGCCUGAGCCGCUUGACUUAUAUGAGUUGGCAAGUAAACUGUUUUUCCUGCAGUUGUGCUGGGCUGUCCACCCAAAGUCAAGUCUCCUUGCAGAUUUCUACCAUCACCAUCCCCUUCAGGACCUGUGAUGGCAAAGUCCAGUCCAGGUCAUCCUGUGGGCCUGUACGGAGAAGAGAGUGGAACUGGAACCAACAGUCAAGAGCAGGCAGACAAAUGUUGCUGAGACCAGACGUUGUGUUUCGUGGACAAUAGAUUUCUGGUAUCUGAGUGAGAAAGACCCUUGGCCCUUUCUAGCUCUCAUCUUUGAGCUUGAGUUUCCACAGAUGGAGAUGGGGAGCACACCUUGCUAUCAGGACCAGCAAAUUUCCUCAGCGAUUCCUUCCAUCUCUCUAGAAACCAACUUCUCUACUUCUCCUGUGAUGCCAGGGGAAAGCCGGGCAAUUCGGACUUUGCCUUCUCUGAGCUGCAGUCUUUCCGGCCAACAUGGACACCUUUCGUCAAAGCUGAUGUGGCUCAGCACCAAGUUCAGGCUGGAGGCUUCUUGUUCACUGGCAGUGCCACCAAGAUCUCCUCUGUUCCCUGUCUGUAUAAAGUCACUUGUUUUCUGGGGGGUGGUUAAUUUGUUGAAACUUAAGUGAAGAGUUUGGGUAAUUGGGAGGGAGUUCUUGAUACAAAUCUGCACUAGGUAAGGUGCGUUCCAAGACGCUUCUGCCCUUUAGUCUCAUGGAUGGCUCUGGUUCCCGGUUCCUCUAUUGCUUUAUUGGCACAGGUUUCAUCCAGAAGGUCGCAUCACAGAAGCUGAAGUUCACUCACCAAGGGUGAAAACAAUCCACAUUUCUUUGUGAGUAGAGACUAAAGUAUGUUGCCUUUAUGCAGCCCACUGACACUUCAAAGUCAUUACUGAUCCUUCUGAUUGGUUGGAUCACAUAAGAUUUGCAGAAGAUAGGGGUCAUUAUGUUGUCUGCCCAGUGAAAACCUGAGACCUGAGAUACUUAGAAAUACCUGUGCUCAAGCCCAUGUUCCUUCACCAAGUGACAUGACAGUGACCAUCACUGGCCUGGUUGCUAGUCAAAAACUCAACUUGUGAAACUUAACCGUAACUGCGAUGCCUUCUUCCCCUUCCACAUACACUAGGGCCCACUGCCCAGGACAUUCAUUUGAGGUCCCUUCAUGGCGGGAGGGGUGCGAAAGACCUAGAUGAAUGGUUUCAGGGUCAAUCUGCUGAGUAUUGGCACUUGAAAACAAGUGACGGCUUUGAGGAUUCCAAAAGAGUGACUCUAAUUGAUGACAUUCUCAAAAUCAAGACUCUCAGGGAAAGAGAAGCUGAUCGGGUUCUCUCCCAGGAGUUCGUUCUGAGGCGAGCCAUGUCACUCACCCAGUGAGACAUGUACUCAUGAAUGUCUGCUCACUCCUGGGAGUGUUAAUGUGCUGUAGCUUUUGGUGUGAAGUAUUCCAUGUCAAAGUCGCGUUUGCCAUAUGUAUUUUUUCAUUCCUCUUGUUGCUGUGGGGGUUGGAAAGAGAAGGGAUUAUAUUGGACCCCUUAAGGGUAGGCUCCUGAAAUGGAGUCUAUUCCUUGUUAUACUGGUUCCCUGUUCUGUGCAAAAUGUCUAUGGCGGAAUAGUAUUCCAUUGUAUGUAUGUACCACAUUUUCUUUACCCACUGAUCUGUUGAUGGACACUGAGCCUGUUCCGUGUGUCGGCUGUUGUGAAGAGUGCGCCAUUGAACACCGGGGUGCAGACACGGCUUUGAGACAGUGAUUUCGUUUCCAUUGGCUGUACACCCAGGGCUGGGAUUGCCGGAUCAUGGGGUGGCUCUCCUUUUACUUCUUGAGGAACUUGCAUACUGUUUUCCAUUGUGGCUGAAGCAGUUUACAUGGGGGAACACUUCUUGAACUAAAGAGAUUUCAUGACUGGUUCUCCAGCCACUUCUGAUUGUCUGUUCUCUUGAGGAGAAGAAUGAUGGAGGUUGGAGGCUCUGGUGGGGAAGGGGGUUCUGUGAUCAGGAAAGAUGGAAGGACUAACUCCUUGCUUCCGGUGCUUGAAGCCUAGAGCUGGGAAGGGGGCUGGACAGAGUGUCCUCUGUAGAGCUGCUCUCAGAGCAGGAGGACAGAGCAGAGAGGAGGGUAUGCGCCCUCAGUGUCAAAGGCGUGUUGGCCUUUGUAUGUUCCAGAGUGCCUCCUGCCCGCUGGCCCAUCCAUGGCACUACCAGGGAUCAGCAUGGCUGGAGGAUAAAAGA